GGUGGGCUCUGAAGUUUCAGAAGAUUCCCAUCAUCCCCAGCGUGUCUCUCUGCCCCGUGGUCUUGGAUGAAGGCGUGAGCUCUCAGCUGUUCUUUGUUCCUCCAUCAUGGACUCUAACCCUCUGAAACUGAAGCCAACUAAGUGCCGUCUUUCAUAAAUCGCCUUUGCCAUGUGUGUUAUCACAGCAAUAGAAAAGUAACUAAGGCCAAUGGCACGGGAAACAGACUAACUACAUGCGACGUUAGCAGACCAGGAGACCGUGUGCUGAGAGGCAGUCAGCAUUGUGCUUCUAUUAACGGCUCCUCAUCAGGGCACCACUUGGAGGGCUCUUCAGAUGUUCCUGUAGGGCAGGGUCUGUGCCCUCCUUGGUGUGUUCUGCCCUGCACAGCUUGCCCCCAUGAGUGUCUGAUGAAUAUUCUCCUUGGCUGGGCUCUCCCUCAGAGAGCAGUGAGGACGUCAACGGACAUGGAUAGAAGGAAGAAGGGUUGCAAGCCCACCCCUUGCCACUGUGCUGAGCAGUGCUGAGGUGGCCAUGACCAGCUCCUCUCAGGCUACUUGGGGAAAUCAGAGUGGAGAGAGGCACCAAGGUUCCUUUCAUGCGAGAAAGACAGCCCACUUGCUCCAGCAUAGCAAUCCCCAUGGGUGCUGAGCCAUUCAGUGACCCAGAGAGGGCCACUGCAGUAUCCCAGACAGCUGGGACGAGUGUAAGCUCCAGGUCCUUAGCCUCAAUGGGGCCUAUAUGACCCUGGGGAGACCUCGUGGCACUGAAGGAACCGGGCUUCUACAGACUUUUCAUAUGUAAUAAACAAAGCACACACAAGCCAUCAAAGUGAAACCAUGGCAGCUUCAGCUCCAUGUUGAGGGCAGGACCAUGAAUUAUGUCUGUUCCUUUCAUUUUUUGUGUGUUGAUAUAAGUGUACUUAGAUUUAUUCUACUUUAAAUAGCAUUUUUGCACUAUA